rnacentral:rRNA from 1 species
GUGAGGAAUAUUGGUCAAUGGGCGGGAGCCUGAACCAGCCAAGUCGCGUGAAGGAAGAAGGAUCUAUGGUUCGUAAACUUCUUUUGCAGGGGAAUAAAGUGCAGGACGUGUCCUGUUUUGUAUGUACCCUGAGAAUAAGGAUCGGCUAACUCCGUGCCAGCAGCCGCGGUAAUACGGAGGAUCCGAGCGUUAUCCGGAUUUAUUGGGUUUAAAGGGUGCGUAGGUGGUUUGAUAAGUCAGCGGUGAAAGUUUGCAGCUUAACUGUAAAAAUGCCGUUGAAACUGUCGGUCUUGAGUGCAAAUGAGGUAGGCGGAAUGCGUGGUGUAGCGGUGAAAUGCAUAGAUAUCACGCAGAACUCCGAUUGCGAAGGCAGCUUACUAAGCUACAACUGACACUGAAGCACGAAAGCGUGGGGAUCAAACAGGAUUAGAAACCCCUGUAGUCC